rnacentral:piRNA from 1 species
UAUUAAAAAGAGUGUUUUAUUUAGAUUGGG